rnacentral:rRNA from 1 species
CCUACGGGUGGCUGCAGUGAGGAAUAUUGGUCAAUGGGCGAGAGCCUGAACCAGCCAAGUCGCGUGAAGGAUGACGGUCCUAUGGUUUGUAAACUUCUUUUACAUGGGAACAAAGAGCGGUACGCGUUCCUCAUCGUAUGUACCCUAUGAAUAAGCAUCGGCUAACUCCGUGCCAGCAGCCGCGGUAAUACGGAGGAUGCGAGCGUUAUCCGGAUUUAUUGGGUUUAAAGGGUGCGUAGGGGGGUAAUUAAGUCAGCGGUGAAAGUUUGGGGCUCAACCAUAAAAAAGCCGUUGAACCUGGUUGGCUAGAGUAGGUGUGAGGUAGGCGGAAUGCGUGGUGUAGCGGUGAAAUGCAUAGAUAUCACGCAGAACUCCGAUUGCGAAGGCAGCAUACU